GUCCAUCACCGAUGCCAGUCUUCCAUCGAAGAAAAUGCCUACGAGAAAGGCAAAAGAAGUAGUCCACAAUGGCAGAGGAAAAAUCGAUGGUGCGAAGGUAGGCUAAAUGGGGGACUUGAGGGCGAAUAGGAAGACGGAGUCUGGGAGGGAGGCGACUUGGAAGCGGGCGAGGCUGAUGAAGAGCUUGUCAGGGAAGAAGCUGAGGGC
rnacentral:lncRNA from 1 species